AGAACUCAAGAAAUCAAGCAAUUGAAGCCUAAAUCACAAGCUAAUUCAGUGCAUGAGCCCUCUUUUUCGAAAAUCUAACCCUAGUUAGUGAAGAGGCGUGAAGGAAGAAGGUUCGGGUACUAAGAAACCGGAAGGCUCACAAGAUCGAGGUAAAUCCUCGACUUAGGCGACUCGGCGAAUUGGAGCGAGCACGUGAUCAAAAUAUGUCUUACCAAGCGCUUCCGCUAGUUUAUGUUAAUGUUUUGGGUCAAAAUACUUUUUGUACAAUUUGUUGGUAGACACACCUUUUAGUAUUUGAUGUUUUGGUUUUAGUAGUAUCUUGUAGAAUGGUAUUGUCUUG